CCUCUAUAAAAAAUUAAUUGACCAUAUGGUUUGACGGUACAUGUGCACGUUUGUUAUAACCGCCUGAAGUCUGCAUCAUGACUUGAUGGUUACCCAGGGGUUUAUGUGUGUCCAACUGAACACCAUGGUUCUGGGAUUGAGGAUCCGCACAAACACAGGCAGGAGUUUGGAGGGAAGAAGGGGGCACAGCAGGAGUGUAUCUCAAGCCCACCUCAAAGGCAGCAGAGCAUUCCAAGUUGCUGAAAACCUGUGCAAAUGGGGCCUCUAAAACAAACAUUGUACUGUGAGCUCUCGGGGAAGGGGCAGGAAAAGGAUGUUGAUAAUUAAGGGGGCAUUUUCUUGAGGUGGCAGAUGAGGAGGGAGGCUUACCAUUUUGAAUCCCCUCAGCCCCAGGACAUGAUAAUCAGAGGAGAUCAUGUCCAAUCUUGAAUCAAUUCCCUGUUCAAAAAGAGGUGCUAAUACCCCAGGGACCAGACUCUGAAAAUACCAUGAAAAUACUCUGAAAAUACCAUGCUGGUCAUUCCUGAGUCCCUGUUCUAUGCCCUACAACAUAUUAGAAGGGCAAGGGAAGGUCAGAGGGUAGUGGCUUGUGUUCUGUGGAAGUAAAACACCUUAGCUCAUAUUAAGCACUGAUAAAACCCAAAGACUGGGACCACAGAUCUGUUGAGAGGUCGCUAGUAGGGACCAAGAGUGGGAGGUCUGGAACAUCCUCAGCUUGAGAUGCAGUAGGUGUGGAAAGUCUGGGAGGAGGUAAAUAUUAAAGUAAUGGGAAACAGAACACUCCCAAGCCUUAAUUUUAAUUGGAUAGUUUAAAAAAUUGAAAUAGAAUCUGACAUUGGGUGCCAGUCACCACAAAUGCCAUGCCUUUAUGGUCACUUGGUAUCAUAAAAAAUUUGCCAAAGCAUGCCUGUCUGGCUAAUCAAAAGGUCUUGCUAGGAGGUGUUUGUGUGCAUGACAGAGUGCCAAGGGGCUUGGUACCACUGACUAUCCAACGUGAUUCCUAUGGAAACAGAAGCGGCAGAGUCUUGGUUAGCUGGCUUGUUGAGGUUUGGCAGAGAAGAAGCGAAAGCUCCAAAGUGACUGCAGAUUCUCUGCAACUGGCUUUGACCCAGAGAAAGAGGAGCCACAUUCUCACUCUAAAGAUAGACAGGGACCAAACCUAACCCAUAGCACAUGCAUUAGUUCUGGUCAUCCUACAGUUGAUGGGCAACUAACACUGGGCAGGGGAAGGGAGCUGGUUAGGGAAGAAGGGCUCAUUUUUCAUUUUUUAAAGUCUUAAUUAAUAUUCUAACCUCAAACAGAUUAUCAGUGCCUCAGAUACAAUUUAAUCUUAAGUCUUUAAAAGGCCCCCUGAAACAAAAAUAUACAUUUUUUUAAGGCUUCCUCACUUUCUGAUAGUCAGUUUCCCCCAGUCUCCAGUUUUACCCUGACUUAGAGUCCACAAACUUCAUCAGACCACCUGUGCUCAUGGACGUGGGUCUUUCUAGAGGGAAGCCUCGGGCUCGGCUCCAGAUGAGCUGUGCCAGUACACCCAAUGCCCGUGAUGCCCCAAACAGGACCGCGUAGCAAUGUAUCUCUGUCAUGCUAUAGUACCCACCGUGUGCAUCUGCAUUGGGCCCAGGAUUCUCGGCCUUACCCUACUGUCAGAGGAUAUUGGGCACAAUCUUGUAUAGCUGAGCAACCAACUUAAACAUGAGAUCAUUAUGCGAUGUUUCAGAGCAAACUCUCGCUGACAGGUACAUUGUGGCUUAGUCUUCUUUAGUACUGCAUGGCCAUAGCCUGGAACAACCCAUCUCGAGUUCAAUGUAGUCUCGUAACUUCUCAUCUGACACAUCUUUGCCAACUUCCUUCUGUAGUUGUGUUAGCCAGACAAGCACUUCCUGAUUUGCCAGUCCAUGUAGAGGACCUGCCAGCCCAUUCAUGGCUGCUGCAAAGGACAGGGAAGGGUCUGAAAGGGUACUGCCUGCCAAAUGGCUGGCAUGAGCACUUAUAUUGCUGUGCUCAUGGUCACUGUGGAUGGUGAGCUACAGGUGCAUGAGCUCAGUGAACUGAGCAUCAGUAUAGCCUAACAUGUUGGUGAAACAGUGGGACCAGUCCAGCUUAGAGUCAGUGACCCCAAUACCACUGCCCUCUCCACAGAGAUUUUGGUAGACCUUUUCUGCAAUACAAGGUAGCUUUGUGAUUAGAUACACAUGGUCUUCAUAAAUCAACUCCCAGUACUUGGUUUGACUGGCACCCUCUGGAUAUGCUCGGGCAAAGUUGUUUAGGGCUGCCAUGGCUGCAGUGGGCUCAGACAUGGGUGUGGAUUGGUGGGAAAGUUGUCCAGCAUGGUGACCACAUGGGAAGGCAGAGCUGCCUGCCCUCUUUGCCCACUCUCUUAAAAGCCAAGAUACCUGUUCCUCUCUUGGAAUCUGUCCAGUUACCAGCAGCCAAAAUAAGCCCCUGGGUAGGGGUUUUCCCCACCCUUAGUCUUGGGUAGCAGUUUUUGGUAUUCAGGGAUACUGAAGCCUCGGAAACAGAUACCCUCAUCAGGAUCAAGAACUGAUGUUUAUACACCAAUCCCUUAAUGCCUCUCAUGCCGCCAUACAUUAUGUCUGCAGUGAUUUGGCCCACGACCUUCUUGCCAUGUUGCUGCCUGAAAGUCUUAAUUCUGGCCUGCUCCUUAACUAUCAGGUCAGCCAAUAUGUCUUUCAAAUUCUUGGAGGAAGCACUGGCAUGCCAGGCAGCAAGAACAAGACAAGAUGCACUGUUGCUUCCCAAGAGCCUGGCAGCCACCUGGGUAAAACCAUGGUGAGUGAACUCUGCGAUCUGGUGGAGAGGGAAGAAGGGGAGAGAGCUGUGGCAGAAACAGGAAACACCACUGUGGCACCAGAGGCCGCAAUGGGUGGACAAGGUUGAAAGGAGGCAGCUGAGGAAACACGUAGAUGAACCCGCAGCAGGUGCCCAGCCAGGGGUUCUCAGCAAGGCCCUGUGCACUGCCAACUAUGAACUUAUUAAGACUGACUUUCCAAUAGUUCUUAGCAGUGUGUGGAGUAGAAGACUGAACAACGUAUACCUUCAGAAUGCACAGAGCCAAUGCAUUUUUGGAUUACAAAUAAAUCAAUUUAAGACCUAUUGCUUCUGACAAUGAUUUGC
rnacentral:lncRNA from 1 species